UGCCCUCCUCAAAACACUUACUUUGUUCUUUUUUUUCGUAAAAGCCCACACGUGUUUUGCAUCAUCAGAUUCACUAAUGUGAUGUGCUCCCAAAUAUAAUUUUAAAUGACUUCCUUAAUUUGAUUAGCACAACAACCAAUACAACCAACAACGGGGUCAAAUGAGCGGCAUCACGGAUUUUAAGAAAAAUCAACCUAAAGGGUCCAGAAAGAUAUAAUUAUUAUUUCCACGUAAGGAAGAGUAUCAUUUAGAUCGCUUGCAUAUUCGGGUUGGAGGAGUUUGGGGUGCCAUAUCCUAUUAUGGCAACUGCUAAAUGCAGUUUUAUACACCAAAAAUGAAAGCUAAAAACUGCAAUUGCGUUCUUAAAAGUGCAUUUUCGUUUUUCAAACACUUAAUUGGAAAUCUGAAAUGGCAUUUCCAGCACGACAAUGCUCCUACUCACACAGCACGGUCCGUAAAACGUUUAAUUCAGAAGGAAAAUUUCAGUGCCUUCCUCCCCAGACUUUAACAUAAUAGAAAACGUCUGGUGUUGGUUGGCUAGGAAGGUAUACGAUGGUGCCAAGCAUUUUGCUACCAAGUAGGCAAUGAUUUGCAGUAUAAAUAAGCUUUGAAUCAACCAAAUUAUAUUGGAAAAUAUGGUACAGUUCUAUCUUUAAUGGUUUUGAAAAUAUUUCACUUCAAAGAAGAAUACUAAGGGGGCGCUAAUCUGGUGAUGAGCAGUGUGCAGUGACCGACUUACGAAAAUUAUUUAGUUGGCGCAACCACAUAUUUCCAAAAUAUAAUAAAAUUCAAAAUUGAUUAUUUACACUAA